rnacentral:lncRNA from 1 species
ACAACAACACAGCCGAUCUAGAAAAUUUUAAUUUUUUUUCCAUAUUGAACAAAUUUUUAACGUGACAAUAAAAGAAUAAAUUUUUGGGUUUGGAUUAAAUUUAUGAGAUUAAAAAGAUGAAGAGAAAAGAAAAGAACAAAGAUUUUGGGUUGGGUUGAAGAAGGAAUAAGAAGAUGAGGGAAGUUGUUGAAGAAGAAGAAAAGGAUGAAGAGAAGAGGAAGGAGGAAAAGAAGGGUACGGUGGAGAGAAGAAAGAAGAGAAGGAUG